GUUUAUUUGAUUAUUGUUUUUAUAUUGAGGAAAUAUCCUUUUAUUUUAGUAUAAAUUUGAAUAAAUUUGUUUUAUUAUAGUUAAUUAGUAUAGUGAUAGAAUUUUGAAAGAUAGCUAAAAUGAUUUAAAGAAAAAUUUAGUUUUUGUACCUUGUGUCUCAGGGUUGAUAAAUUUAUUGGUCUAUAUAGAUUUUUCCCGAAUCAAGAAGAGCUAAUUAGUUAUUUUUUAAUUGUUAAAUAAAUUUUUUAAAUAAUUAAUUAGAAAUGAAAUGUUAUUCGUUUCUUGAGAUAUCUGGUUUUUUGAGAAAUUAAUUUAAUUUAGCUGUAAUUUAGGUUUUAUUUUAUUAUUAUAAAUUUGACUUGUUUACUUGUAAUAAUAGUGGGGAUGAGCUCAUUAUUAUAUUACUAAAAAUAGUUUUUUUUAUUUGGUGAGUAUGAUUAGAAUUGUCAUUCUCUAGAAUAAUUUAAUAGUUAACUUUUUUAAAUUAAUUAUUUUUAUUUGUUUUUAGGUUUUAUAUUGAAGCGUUAAUUUUAUUUAUUUUUAUUAAGUGAUAAUGAUUAAAUUAGUAAAUAUUUAUUUGUAUUGUCUGUUUGUUUUUAGGUUUAGAAAAGGAAUUCGGCAAAAUUGGUCUUUCCGCCUGUUUAUUAAAAACAUGUCCUUUUGAUUAUUAUUUAAGGUCUGAUCUGCUCAAUGAGAUAUUAAAUUGCCGCGGUAUUUUGACCGUGCGAAGGUAGCAUAAUAAUUAGUUUUUUUAUUGGGAGCUGGAAUGAAUGAUUGGACGAGAAAGAGACUGUCUCUUUUAAAUUUUUUGUUGAACUUAACUUUUAAGUGAAAAGGCUUAAAUUUUUUUGAAAGACGAGAAGACCCUAUAGAGUUUAAUAAUAUUUUUGCUUUAUUGAUUAUUGGUAUUUAUUUCUUUUGAGUGAAAAUUUAUUUAGUUGGGGUGACUAGAAGAUUAAAAUAACUCUUCUAAUAUUUAAAUUACUGAUUUGUAAAUUUAUAAUCUGAUCUUAUCAAUUUUAAUAUAAAUUACCUUAGGGAUAACAGCGUAAUUUCUCCUUAGAGUUCUUAUUGGAGGGGAAGUUUGCGACCUCGAUGUUGGAUUAAAAUUAAUAUUAGGUGCAGUAGCUUAAUUAUUGGGUCUGUUCGACCUUUAAAAUUUUACAUGAUCUGAGUUUAAACCGGUGUGAGCCAGGUUGGUUUCUAUCUUUAGAAUUUUUUGACAUUUUAGUACGAAAGGACCGAAUGUUGAAUAAAUUAUUUUCUUUUAUGAAUGUUAUU
rnacentral:rRNA from 1 species